rnacentral:rRNA from 1 species
GUGCCAGCAGCCGCGGUAAUACAGAGACUGCGAGCGUUAUUCGGAUUCACUGGGCGUAAAGGGUGCGCAGGCGGCCGUGUGUGUGAGGCGUGAAAGCCUGGAGCUUAACUCCAGAAUUGCACCUCAAACUACACGGCUAGAGCAUUGGAGAGGGUAGCAGAAUUCACGGUGUAGCAGUGAAAUGCGUAGAUAUCGUGAGGAAUACCAGAGGCGAAGGCGGCUACCUGGACAAUUGCUGACGCUCAGGCACGAAAGCGUGGGGAGCAAAAGGGAUUAGAAACCCUGGUAGUCC